rnacentral:rRNA from 1 species
CCUACGGUAGGCAGCAGUGAGGAAUAUUGGUCAAUGGACGAGAGUCUGAACCAGCGAAGUAGCGUGAAGGAUGACUGCCCUAUGGGUGUUAAACUUCUUUUGUAAAGGAAUAAAACGAGGCACGUGUGCCUUUUUGCAUGUAUUUUAUGAAUAAGGAUCGGCUAACUCCGUGACAGCAGCCGCGGUAAUACGGAGGAUCCGAGUGUUAUCCGGAUUUAGUGGGUUUAAAGGGAGCGUAGAUGGUUUGUUAAGUCAGUUGUGAAAGUUUGCGGCUCAACCGUAAAAUUGCAAUUGAUACUGGCAGUCUUGAGUACAGUUGAGGUAGGCGGAAUUCGUGGUGUAGCGGUGAAAUGCUUAGAUAUCACGAAGAACCCCGAUUGCGAAGGCAGCUUACUAAACUGUGACUGACAUUGAUGCUCGAAAGUGUGGGUAGCAAACAGGAUUAGAUACCCGAGUAGUC